ACUGCACCUAGAGGUGUUGCAGGUGUGGCUGCUAUGUCACAUGUGUGUCAGUAGGUGGCAGAGAAGAGAAAGGCUAUGUUUACACUCAGUGUUCUGACCCGCAUACAUCUGAAUGAUAGGCAGCCUAACACU
rnacentral:snoRNA from 7 species